UUUCCACAUUAAGGAGGACAGACUUCACACCAGGCAACAAAAAAAUAAAAAUAAAAAAAAAUUCACAGGUGGUCAGCUCAACGACUCACAUAUGUAUCUGUACAUAGAGUCGUGUCAGCUCUUUUGCUCUGGGUCUCGAUAAAGAAUAACAGCUAGAAGGACUGAGGAAUACUGAUACAUGUUUACUGUCAGUUGUUAAAUAACGUAAAAAAAAAAAAAAAGAAAAGUUGGGGUUGAGAGUAAAAUAAACUUAAUUAUUCCAAAAACAAGUCAUAUCCUCUCACGCAGUUUUGAUUUUAAAGUAAUUUAAUGUUGUUCUAAGGAUUUUUGCAUAUUUUUAAUGAGAAAUAAGAUAAAAAUGUUGAUUAAAAAUAAAAGGGAUAUCUGGUGAUGAAAAGUCCUAUUUUUUAAAGAAAUUUCAUGAAAAAACCUUGAUUUCUCUUCUGAUACUGGCAGUGACAGGCAACAGAUACAGCAAGAAGCAACAUUUUUAUCUGCAUGGAACAAAAUGGAACAAAAGUGGACAGAUUGAAAAGGCUAGAGAAAGUGCUACCCUUCAGAAAAAGAACAAACUAUGAAUAAGAGAGUGAGGAAGGGGGAGAAAAAUGUCCAAAAAAAAAAGACAGAAAGAGAAGGAGAGGGAGAGACAAGCUCUUGGACAGAAGGUCUGCCUGUGGUGCGACAGCUUUCUGUGCCGCACAAGGGUGAGCUUCUGUUGGAAUGUGUGCCAUCAGUUAGGGCUUGUCACCAGGUGUGUGUGUGUGUGUGUGUGUGUGUGUUUGUGUAUGUGUUUGAAAGCAUGAGUGAGAGUGCCCUACAUAUACCCUCAACUCUUGACAAAAACUCAAUACGGUCUUUCUAAGCUCCCAGCGCAGCUAUUGGACUUUUUGUCAACUUCUUGUCACCCUCUCUCACACACACACAAGCUUCUCCUUCCCCCCUAAAUAAAAGACUUGUUUUUCUCCAGGAGUUUUCUUAUGUAUUUAUUUCUAUUGACACUGGUUGGCACCAUAAACAGCAAUAAUGUGUAAACCACAAUUUAGCUUUGGGGAACCUGCCAUCCCCAGGGGCAGAGCGGGGCGACAUGAACGCCUGUUGUUAUCUCAUGUUUACCUGCCUGUUCUGCUUUUAUUUUUUAGUACCACAAUAUGUAGCUCAGCUCAACUGCAUACCAAAGCAAAACAAGGAGACUUUGCCUGGUGCGUGAUGCUUUCUGUGUGCUGAGAGCUUUAAAGGAAGGAGAUCAGACAGACUCUCUGACUGCAUUUCUAUUGGUGACAACUGUGUUUUGUUAGCAUGUUGUAUGAACAUGUCCAUAAUUGAUCCAUAAAUCAAUUUUAUGCAUGGACAGUUUAUGUUAACUUUUGUAGAAUAGGAUAUAUUAAGAUACUUCUAGUUUUUGUGUAGAGACUUAAUUAAUCAAAUGAUGAGUGCUAGCAUUUCUCCAUCUUAAAAAAAUAAAUAAAUAAAUAAAAAGCCUAUUUGCUGGACACAUGGCUAAUACUGCUAUAAAACUAGAUCAUAAAGCUGACAGCCUCCCGAGGCAUGAUCUACUAAACAAGAAACAGAGCGCCCCAUGCUUUACUCCCACUGUCACCGUCAAAGUAGUUUCACACUCUCUCCCCGAGAGUGUUCGUCUGGGUUUGUGUGUGUGAAGUUAUAGCCUAUAUUAGCGCUGUGGGUUACGUGAACAUGCUGCUCUUGCCAUCAGAUCAUGAGUGACGGGUAUAGUAUUUGCAACAAUUUAAUGAGAGUCGGGGUGAGGAAACAAGUUGAGUGAUAAGCAGGUCAUUAAGUUUGCUCUGCCAACUCUGCUCGGCUUUGAUUUGUGUACGCUGUGUGAUAACUGUGAAGAGGGAAAAAGAGACUUUGAGGGAGGGGAAAAAACAGCUUAGGAAGUGCAGAACGAGCUGUACUUCAUGAGCUGAAACUCUGUAGUGUAAGAUGAUUCAAUUAAAGUCUGUGGACUUUGUGUUUGAUAAACCCAAACAAAGCAGCUGGUUUCCAGCACGGGGAGCUUCAAAUGAAGUCCAGAGGCUUCUGGAUUUAUGUGAACUUCCCUUUCUGGGUCACCGGUUGGUGCAGAGGAGGACAAUCAACUCAAUCUAUUUAGCUCUGUCGAGUCGCUGCCUUCCCUUUCAGCUCCUUGCGGAGGGAGUAUAAGAGCGAGCCGGAGACCUCUGAGGGUCUCCGCGGCAGCCUCCGACUCAAUCCAAUUGUUUUUCAAAGACAACCACCUGGUGGCAACAAGCGGAAAUAUCCGUCAGCCGAUACUAAGCCCGACUGUUUAGAGGCUGUGUAAGAAUAACAGCACAAGUGAUGUGCAUGCUGUGUUCGCUCGCCGGUGAAUGAGUCGAGCAUCCACUGACAUGCUUCGGUCAAGAGCCUGACCUCGUCAAGCUUCCUUUACAAGUUAAAGAUCUUGGGGUUCUGUGAAACUCGUAGGACAGACAAACAAGAUGCCAUGCAGCUACUUCAAACUGUUUGACACAAACUCAAGGUUUCAAAGCCUGAACCUCAGAGACUCCCUCGCAGCCUCUGAGUUCAACUCCCAGAGAUUCCCUGCUCGCACGCACUGACACAGGACACAACACAGCGGAGACGAGGAGACCAGGCAGCUUACCGUGAACUGUCAGCCACAAGAUAAGAAAGACCUCCGGGAUCAUCUCGGCACUUUGGAGGAGUGGUGACCUCUCGGGCGCCAAGGAGAAGAAGUUCACGCACACACAGACAAACGACUCUUCUGGUUGGCUGCUAUUGUCAGUCCCCCGAUGUGCCCUCUUAAUAUGAUUGGUUAACUCCCUCAAAGAUCUAACCCUACAUCUACAAUGUUCUGGUACUGAUAUAUAGCUUGCACUUGUUGCUAUAUGGUUGUUAAUGUGUUUAUUUAAGUGUUUGCUAGGGUGUUGCUAGACAGUUACCAGGGUAAUACUUACAGACUGGUUAUCUGCUUGAAUAAAAAUAGCUGAGUCUGUAAACAUAUAUGAUGUUUUUGUGGCAAGGUAUGGCUUAUUCAUGUUGCUCUAGGUUGUCAGGGUCCUCUAAAUGUUUGCCAGGGUGUACCUAGGUAAUUGCCAUGGUGAAACCUGCCAACAGCCUAAGUGAAAAGGCCUAUGCACAUGUCUAAUAAUAAAAUGAGUUGUGAUCGAUUGCUUUGCAUGUCAGGACAAUCUCCUCUCUAAUGGCACUUUUCCACUGCAUGGUACGGCUCACUUUUGGGGGGUUUUCCACUGGGUACAGUACCUGGUACCUGGUACUUUUUUAGUACCACCUCGGUUGAGGUUCCAAGUGAACCGAACCAUUACCAAAACAUAAUGUGUAAACCUUGCUUAUCACAGAUUGGCCGGAGAGAAUCGCCACUACCUGCAUCACUGAACUUGCGACACAAACACUAUAGAACCGCUAGAUUUAAAUCAGCACAGCCAGCGAAGGAUCGAACUCAACUUUUUGAACGAGCGCACCUUUUAUUAUCAACCAGAAAGUUUUGUUGUCUGUUGUGGCAGUACAGAUGUUCCUCUUGUUGAUAGCAGAGGAGCGGAUCCAGCGAGAGCUUGAUGGGACAAAGCGGAAUUAAAAAGUUUUUUAGGAGUCGCGGCAGUAGAGGCGGCACAGCUAUAAUGACAUGUGAAUAAUCCCACCCACUCUAAAGCGAUACUAAACUGCAGUGGAAACGCAAAGCGAGCUGAGCCAUACCGUACUGAGCCGUGCCGAGCCGAGUUGUACCAUUCAGUGGAAAAGUGCCAUAAGUUGGCAGUAUAAGAUGCAAGGCGGAUCCAAACUUGCAAAGUCAAAAGUCUGUGUGCGUUAGACUAAAAGAACCCAGUACUGGAACCUCAUUAGCUCCUCUUUUCCAAAUAAGUAAAACAAAUAUAUAUAUUUAUCAUGUGUGGCUGUGUGAGCUGAAGGUCAAUGCUGAUGUGUUCAUUCCUGACCUCUGGUCACUGGUUCAAUCUAACGGCACAGUAUAUAAUGACAGAGAAGCAAGCCUUUAUAAAUUGCUGAGUCGACAGCAAACAUAACAUAGACAUUGUUUAACAACCAAUAUUAUCAUCUGCCUCGGGUGAGACGAUUAAAAGUGGAAACUACUGAAAGAGAUGUCCAAUCACUGAAACAACACUUGAGGUAGUUAAAAUGCAUUUGACUGCAUUGCACUUAAAGUGUAAACACUAAUGCAUCCUGAUGUGUCCCGGGCAACAUCCCAGGACCA
rnacentral:lncRNA from 1 species